AGCAGCCGCGGUAAUUCCAGCUCCAAUAGCGUAUAUUAAAGUUGUUGCAGUUAAAAAGCUCGUAGUUGAAUUUCGGGGUUAGUAGGCUGGUCGUGCCACUGGUACGUACUGGUCUCACUGAUUCCUCCUUCCUGAUGAACCGUAAUGCCAUUAAUUUGGUGUUGCGGGGAAACUGGACUGUUACUUUGAAAAAAUUAGAGUGUUUAAAGCAAGCUAACGCUUGAAUACAUUAGUAUGGAAUAAUGAAAUAGGACGUUCGAUCCUAUUUUGUUGGUUUCUAGGAUUGACGUAAUGAUUAAUAGGGAUAGUUGGGGGCAUUAGUAUUCAAUUGUCAGAGGUGAAAUUCUUGGAUUUAUUGAAGACUAACUACUGCGAAAGCAUUUGCCAAGGAUGUUUUCAUUAAUCAAGAACGAAAGUUAGGGGAUCGAAGACGAUCAGAUACCGUCGUAGUCUUAACCAUAAACUAUACCGACUAGGGAUCGGAUGAUGUUAAUUUUUAAUGACUCAUUCGGCGCCUUAC
rnacentral:rRNA from 1 species